GAUGAAGAACGCAGCGAAAUGCGAUAAGUAGUGUGAAUUGCAGAAUUCAGUGAAUCAUCGAAUCUUUGAACGCACAUUGCGCCCCUUGGUAUUCCAUGGGGCAUGCCUGUUCGAGCGUCAUUUGUACCUUCAAGCUCUGCUUGGUGUUGGGUGUUUGUCUCGCCUCUGCGUGUAGACUCGCCUCAAAACAAUUGGCAGCCGGCGUAUUGAUUUCGGAGCGCAGUACAUCUCGCGCUUUGCACUCAUAACGACGACAUCCAAAAGUACAUUUUUACACUCUUGACCUCGGAUCAGGUAGGGAUACCCGCUGAACUUAAGCAUAUCAAUAAGCGGAGGA
rnacentral:misc_RNA from 1 species